UGAACGCUGGCGGUAUGCUUAACACAUGCAAGUCGAACGGAAACGAUACUAGCUUGCUAGUAGGCGUCGAGUGGCGGACGGGUGAGUAACGCGUAGGAAUCUGCCUGAUAGUGGGGGAUAGCCCGAAGAAAUUCGGAUUAAUACCGCAUAAUCUAUUCGUAGUAAAGUGGGGGACUUUCGAGCCUCACGCUAUCAGAUGAGCCUGCGUAAGAUUAGCUUGUUGGUACGGUAAAAGCCUACCAAGGCGACGAUCUUUAGCUGGUCUGAGAGGAUGAUCAGCCACAUCGGGACUGAGACACGGCCCGAACUCCUACGGGAGGCAGCAGUGGGGAAUAUUGGACAAUGGGGGCAACCCUGAUCCAGCAAUACCGCGUGUGUGAAGAAGGCCUGAGGGUUGUAAAGCACUUUCAAUUGUGAAGAAAAGUUAGCGGUUAAUAACCGUUAGCCUUGACGUUAACUUUAGAAGAAGCACCGGCUAACUCCGUGCCAGCAGCCGCGGUAAUACGGAGGGUGCAAGCGUUAAUCGGAAUUACUGGGCGUAAAGCGUGCGUAGGCGGUUUAUUAAGUCAGAUGUGAAAGCCCCGGGCUUAACCUGGGAACUGCAUUUGAAACUGGUCAACUAGAGUAUGGUAGAGGAAAGUGGAAUUUCUGGUGUAGCGGUGAAAUGCGUAGAUAUCAGAAAGGAACAUCAAUGGCGAAGGCAGCUUUCUGGACCAAUACUGACGCUGAGGUACGAAAGCGUGGGUAGCAAACAGGAUUAGAUACCCUGGUAGUCCACGCCGUAAACGAUGAUAACUAGCCGUUGGGGGGAUUUACCCUUUAGUGGCGAAGCUAACGCGUUAAGUUAUCCGCCUGGGGAGUACGGCCGCAAGGUUAAAACUCAAAGGAAUUGACGGGGACCCGCACAAGCGGUGGAGCAUGUGGUUUAAUUCGAUGCAACGCGAAGAACCUUACCUGGUCUUGACAUCCUGCGAACUUUCUAGAAAUAGAUUGGUGCCUUCGGGAACGCAGUGACAGGUGCUGCAUGGCUGUCGUCAGCUCGUGUCGUGAGAUGUUGGGUUAAGUCCCGUAACGAGCGCAACCCCUAUCCUUAUUUGCCAACACAUCAUGGUGGGAACUAUAAGGAGACUGCCGGUGAUAAACCGGAGGAAGGCGGGGACGACGUCAAGUCAUCAUGGCCCUUACGACCAGGGCUACACACGUGCUACAAUGGGAAGGACAAAGAGCCGCGAAGCCGCGAGGUGUAGCUAAUCUCAUAAACCUUUUCGUAGUCCGGAUUGGAGUCUGCAACUCGACUCCAUGAAGUCGGAAUCGCUAGUAAUCGUAGAUCAGAAUGCUACGGUGAAUACGUUCCCGGGUCUUGUACACACCGCCC
rnacentral:rRNA from 1 species